rnacentral:misc_RNA from 1 species
GAUGAAGAACGUAGUGAAAUGCGAUAAGUAGUGUGAAUUGCAGAAUUCAGUGAAUCAUCGAAUCUUUGAACGCACAUUGCGCCCCUUGGUAUCCGAGGGGCAUGCCUGUUCGAGCGUCAUUUCACCACUCAAGCCUGGCUUGGUGUUGGGCGACGUCCCCUUUGGGGACGCGCCUUGAAACGCUCGGCGGCGUGGCACCGGCUUUAAGCGUAGCAGAAUCUUUCGCUUUGGAAGUCGGGGCCCCGUCUGCCGGAAGACCUACUCGCAAGGUUGACCUCGGAUCAGGCAGGGAUACCCGCUGAACUUAAGCAUAUCAAUAAGCGGAGGA